GAGAGGAUGAUCAGCCACAUCGGGACUGAGACACGGCCCGAACUCCUACGGGAGGCAGCAGUGGGGAAUAUUGGACAAUGGGGGAAACCCUGAUCCAGCCAUGCCGCGUGUGUGAAGAAGGCCCUCGGGUUGUAAAGCACUUUCAGCGAGGAAGAACGCCUAGCGGUUAAUACCCGCUAGGAAAGACAUCACUCGCAGAAGAAGCACCGGCUAACUCCGUGCCAGCAGCCGCGGUAAUACGGAGGGUGCAAGCGUUAAUCGGAAUUACUGGGCGUAAAGCGCGCGUAGGUGGCUUGAUAAGCCGGUUGUGAAAGCCCCGGGCUCAACCUGGGAACGGCAUCCGGAACUGUCAAGCUAGAGUGCAGGAGAGGAAGGUAGAAUUCCCGGUGUAGCGGUGAAAUGCGUAGAGAUCGGGAGGAAUACCAGUGGCGAAGGCGGCCUUCUGGACUGACACUGACACUGAGGUGCGAAAGCGUGGGUAGCAAACAGGAUUAGAUACCCUGGUAGUCCACGCCGUAAACGAUGUCGACCAGCCGUUGGGUGCCUAGCGCACUUUGUGGCGAAGUUAACGCGAUAAGUCGACCGCCUGGGGAGUACGGCCGCAAGGUUAAAACUCAAAUGAAUUGACGGGGGCCCGCACAAGCGGUGGAGCAUGUGGUUUAAUUCGAUGCAACGCGAAGAACCUUACCUACUCUUGACAUCCUGCGAAUUUGGUAGAGAUACCUUAGUGCCUUCGGGAACGCAGAGACAGGUGCUGCAUGGCUGUCGUCAGCUCGUGUUGUGAAAUGUUGGGUU
rnacentral:rRNA from 1 species